UGGCGGCGUGCUUAUACAUGCCNNNCGAACGNAANCGCCCUUCGGGGUGGAUUAAUGGCGAACGGGUGAGUAACACGUGGGCAAUCUGCCCUUCACUCUGGGACAAGCCCUGGAAACGGGGUCUAAUACCGGAUACCACUCCUGCCUGCAUGGGCGGGGGUUGAAAGCUCCGGCGGUGAAGGAUGAGCCCGCGGCCUAUCAGCUUGUUGGUGGGGUAAUGGCCCACCAAGGCGACGACGGGUAGCCGGCCUGAGAGGGCGACCGGCCACACUGGGACUGAGACACGGCCCAGACUCCUACGGGAGGCAGCAGUGGGGAAUAUUGCACAAUGGGCGAAAGCCUGAUGCAGCGACGCCGCGUGAGGGAUGACGGCCUUCGGGUUGUAAACCUCUUUCAGCAGGGAAGAAGCGAAAGUGACGGUACCUGCAGAAGAAGCGCCGGCUAACUACGUGCCAGCAGCCGCGGUAAUACGUAGGGCGCAAGCGUUGUCCGGAAUUAUUGGGCGUAAAGAGCUCGUAGGCGGCUUGUCACGUCGGAUGUGAAAGCCCGAGGCUUAACCUCGGGUCUGCAUUCGAUACGCGCUAGCUAGAGUGUGGUAGGAGAUAUCGGAAUUCCUGGUGUAGCGGUGAAAUGCCCAGAUAUCANGANUAACACNGGUGGCUAAGGCGGAUCUCUGGGCCAUUACUGACNCUGAGGANCUCAAGCGUGUGGAGCGAACAGGANNANAUACCUGGUAGUCCACNNCG
rnacentral:rRNA from 1 species